rnacentral:rRNA from 1 species
UACAGAGGGUGCGAGCGUUAAUCGGAAUUACUGGGCGUAAAGCGUGCGUAGACGGUAAUGUAAGUCGGGUGUGAAAUCCCCGGGCUCAACCUGGGAACUGCAUUUGUGACUGCAUGGCUAGAGUACGGUAGAGGGGGAUGGAAUUCCGCGUGUAGCAGUGAAAUGCGUAGAUAUGCGGAGGAACACCGAUGGCGAAGGCAAUCCCCUGGACCUGUACUGACGCUCAUGCACGAAAGCGUGGGGAGCAAACAGG